rnacentral:rRNA from 1 species
UACGUAGGGUGCAAGCGUUUGUCCGGAAUUAUUGGGCGUAAAGAGCUCGUAGGCGGUUUGUCGCGUCGGCUGUGAAAACUCGGGGCUCAACCCCGAGCCUGCAGUCGAUACGGGCAGACUAGAGUGCGGUAGGGGAGACUGGAAUUCCUGGUGUAGCGGUGAAAUGCGCAGAUAUCAGGAGGAACACCGGUGGCGAAGGCGGGUCUCUGGGCCGUAACUGACGCUGAGGAGCGAAAGCGUGGGGAGCAAACAGG